UGGGAUUACAGGCGUGAGCCACCACGCCGGGCCACUUAUUCUGUUUCAUGGGAUGAAGUGUUGCUCAAUUCUAGAAUACCAAAUAAGCCAAUUAAGAUUUUUAAACUAAAUGUGUUGUAAUUUUGUCUUUUGACAGUGCCAUUGUACAGGUGAUUCACUACUCCACCACUCCACUCACCUACUCACAAUGACGGUUUUCAACAUUUCAGGAACGGUUUCUACCUUAGGCUCAGAGCAAUUCCUACUUCUCCCUCAUGAGGAAUUGGAGGAGGUGGUGAUAAAAUUCUUCAUCUGGUUGUGAGGUGGUAUUUCACACAACUCCUUGAUAAAUAUUGGAGGUGAUACUGGAUACAGGAAAACUUACAAUAAUCAGAUUGUUACAGGUAGUUAGGCAUCAACAGGGCAGCAGAGGGCUCUCUCCCGACCCACUAGAAAUGUCAGGUGAUGGUUCAGCAAUUAACAAAUUGCCUCUCUAAGAAUGAGAAUUCGGCAGCCAGGGAGAGACAAUCUCUUGAUGGUCCACACCUGUUAACAUUAAAAGUGUUAAUUGAAUACAGCCCCCCAAGCAGCAGCUUCUUGGGCACCCGUGUUAAGAGACAAAUGGCGAAGUAUAGGCCGGGCACGGUGGCUAUAUUCUAUAAAUUCUAAAGAGAAUGAAAAGGACUUGCCAAGCUUCCUUUGGGAGAUACUAAAUUUGUUUUUUUUUUUUUUUUGAGACGGAGUCUCGCUCUGUCACCCAGGCUGGAGUGCAGUGGCUUGAUCUUGGCUCACUGCAAGCUCCGCCUCCUGGGCUCACACCAUUCUCCUGCCUCAGCCUCCUGGGACUACAGGUGCCUGCCAC
rnacentral:lncRNA from 1 species